AGUCGAGCGGGGAAGGUAGCUUGCUACCUGACCUAGCGGCGGACGGGUGAGUAAUGCUUAGGAAUCUGCCUAUUAGUGGGGGACAACAUCUCGAAAGGGAUGCUAAUACCGCAUACGUCCUACGGGAGAAAGCAGGGGACCUUCGGGCCUUGCGCUAAUAGAUGAGCCUAAGUCGGAUUAGCUAGUUGGUGGGGUAAGGGCCUACCAAGGCGACGAUCUGUAGCGGGUCUGAGAGGAUGAUCCGCCACACUGGGACUGAGACACGGCCCAGACUCCUACGGGAGGCAGCAGUGGGGAAUAUUGGACAAUGGGGGGAACCCUGAUCCAGCCAUGCCGCGUGUGUGAAGAAGGCCUUUUGGUUGUAAAGCACUUUAAGCGAGGAGGAGGCGCUCUAGGAUAAUACCCUAGAUGCGUGGACGUUACUCGCAGAAUAAGCACCGGCUAACUCUGUGCCAGCAGCCGCGGUAAUACAGAGGGUGCAAGCGUUAAUCGGAUUUACUGGGCGUAAAGCGCGCGUAGGUGGCUAAUUAAGUCAAAUGUGAAAUCCCCGAGCUUAACUUGGGAAUUGCAUUCGAUACUGGUUAGCUAGAGUAUGGGAGAGGAUGGUAGAAUUCCAGGUGUAGCGGUGAAAUGCGUAGAGAUCUGGAGGAAUACCGAUGGCGAAGGCAGCCAUCUGGCCUAAUACUGACACUG
rnacentral:rRNA from 1 species